GCAAGUCGAACGGGGAAUUCUUAGAGCUUGCUUUUAGAAUUUCUAGUGGCGGACGGGUGAGUAACACGUGGGCAACAUGCCGGAAAGUGGGGGAUAGCCCGAGGAAACUCGGAUUAAUACCGCAUAUGAUCUAGUAGGAAAUCCUACCAUGAUUAAAGGUGGCGCAAGCUGCCGCUUUCUGAUUGGCCCGCGGCCUAUCAGCUUGUUGGUGAGGUAACGGCUUACCAAGGCAACGACGGGUAGCUGGUCUGAGAGGACGACC
rnacentral:rRNA from 1 species